GACGAACGCUGGCGGCGUGCUUAACACAUGCAAGUCGAACGGAAAGGCCUCUUUCGGGGGGUACUCGAGUGGCGAACGGGUGAGUAACACGUGAGUAACCUGCCCUUGAUUUUGGGAUAACUUCAGGAAACUGGGGCUAAUACCGGAUAGGAGCUCCUGCUGCAUGGUGGGGGUUGGAAAGUUUCGGCGGUUGGGGAUGGACUCGCGGCUUAUCAGCUUGUUGGUGGGGUAGUGGCUUACCAAGGCUUUGACGGGUAGCCGGCCUGAGAGGGUGACCGGCCACAUUGGGACUGAGAUACGGCCCAGACUCCUACGGGAGGCAGCAGUGGGGAAUAUUGCACAAUGGGUGGAAGCCUGAUGCAGCAACGCCGUGUGCGGGAUGACGGCCUUCGGGUUGGAAACCGCUUUCGCUCAUGACGAAGCUUUGUGUGACGGUAGUGGGUAAAGAAGCACCGGCUAACUACGUG
rnacentral:rRNA from 1 species